UGUGCAAACUCUCCAGGAGCCGUGGG
rnacentral:piRNA from 1 species